UGUCCAGAGAUGGGAAUCGAAACACUGUGUUCCGCUUACCGGGCAGAUGACAUGUCCACUAGGCUACCCUGGAC
rnacentral:tRNA from 1 species